AGCUUUGCGCAGUGGCAGUACCGUAGCCAAUGAGGUUUAUCCGAGGCGCGAUUAUUGCUAAUUGAAAGUGAUGUUGUCCAAGAUGAAAUGUGGAUAUGGAGUCAUCUUUUUUCCCCCUAUGUUUUAAACCGUAGUACUUAACAGACAUAGGGAAAAGAAAUUAGGCCUUUAAUUAUUGGAGUCCAAUUAAUCUGCAUCUGG
rnacentral:snRNA from 1 species